GUCGUGCAAAGUGUGUCUAGGGGAAAUGAAUAAACAAAAACUAAAUGCAACGAAGACGGAGGGAGCUCCCAACAAAGGGCUACACGACCGGAGAGGGCCCUCUCCAGCCUCUUCUCAUCAGAGCUACCUUUAUUUCAAUGAAGCUAUUCAGUAGCCUAACUUGACACUGAUGUUAGGCCUAAUCUAUGCAAUAUACCCAAUUACAGUUUUUCACAAUUGCUAAAACACAUUUUUUGAAACCUUCCACCCUUCUCAGAACUCUAAACACAAACCCCAAAUCUCAAACUGCAUUCACAAAACCUCUGACAACCUCCGCAAAACUGAACAAUGGCCUCAAAACAGUUGUACCUGUGCUCAAAACCAAACACUGAAGGGAAGGAAUCUAAAAGCAAUACAUUGUGAAACAACUUUUGUUGAAGCACUUUAGUGUCAAAACUAAAAUACUGAAAAACGUGUCUAGGUCUAAUAAAUGUAACAACCCACCUCACACUCUGUAGUUUGUCUGUAAUAUACUGUUAAAGCAAUCAAAACUGUUGACUGAAGUGUCUUUGCACGAACCCUUCCAUGAGAAACAAUGGUGAUUUUCCAUCCUGUGCAGCCCUCACAGGAAAUGACAGAAAGUUCAGUGUGUUAAGUUCUCUAGGUAGACAAGUCAUUUGUCACAACAGUAUGCAAUUGAUGCUGGCUUUGUUUUUCCUGUCAUGUAAGAAUGUAUGCAUUACUAGUGGGGGUAGCACCCCACUGCUGUCCUCAAUCUAUGUUAUAACUAGACUCAAUGACAACGCCACACUGUUUUGCAACAUCUGAAAGACUGCAUGGAUUUGAUAGCCUCUCGUGCAUCAGAACAAGUCAACUUCAAUGAUAAUAACCAUAGAAAAGUCAAAGGACAGGCUGCCAUAUUGAUUCAUAAUGAGGAUCCGGCACGUUUUGUUCCAGUGAUGGACGACAUCACAGGGCUAAUCCAUUUGGUGAUAACAGAGGUGAACGAGUCUGAUUCCGGAGACUAUCACUGCAUCAUCCGAGGACAGCACAAAACUUGGCAUGUUGGAGAAGGCAUCAGAUUAGCUAUUAAAGGUGCCUCUGGAACACGUAUCCCUCAUGGAUCCCUACCACUCUAUCAGACCCUUGUUACAGAGCCCACUGAAAAUGUCACACUUCCUUGUGACCGCUCAUCCAAACAGAUCAAACCAUACCAAGUGUCAUGGUUCCAUCAGCGUGGUUGUAAGCUGACAGCACUGAUGGACAUAGAAAUGUCAAGGACUACGAGAUCUGUAACAAUCAUGAAGAAUUUGGACCAUGCACAUUUUGCUCUAGAAGAUCAUACUAAUGUCCUCUUCAGUUUAGUGAUCAUUGGAGUGAGGAAGUCAGAUUUGGGAGUGUAUCAUUGUAUAGUCCAUGGAGACGAUAAACACUUGCAUUUAGAGAGAAGCAUCAAACUAUCUUUCAAAGGUGGAAACUCCCCCCACCCUGAGAGGGCUCUGCUGUUCUCAGGAAGUGCCUUAGCUGCCCUCGCUUUCUGUCUGGCCACCAUUGCUGCUAUAAAAGCUGCAAACCACCAACGCACACUUGAAGAGGACUGUAGUUUAAGUACCCAUGUUGUACAAGAACAUAGUAACAUAGUACAAACUAGGGGAAUUCCAAAUCAAAGUUACACUUUACAUUGAUUCCAGUCAUUGCAGAUAUCUAACAGUCCAAAGCUAAAAGACUUGUUUUGCUUACCCUAUUCAGUCCUAACAUAAUAUUAUAGUGUCUCAAUUUCAAUAUUGUAAUGCAAUGUAAUAUUAUAUGGAAAAUAAAAUUACAGUUAAUCAGA